AUUCAGCUGAUGAGUUGCAAAUAGGGAGGAACGCGCGUCCUGGAU
rnacentral:hammerhead_ribozyme from 1 species